rnacentral:rRNA from 1 species
UACCAGCACCCCGAGUGGUCGGGACGUUAUUGGGCCUAAAGCAUCCGUAGCCGGUUCUACAAGUCUUCCGUUAAAUCCAGCUGCUUAACAGAUGGGCUGCGGAAGAUACUAUGGAGCUAGGAGGCGGGAGAGGCAAGCGGUACUCGAUGGGUAGGGGUAAAAUCCGUUGAUCCAUUGAAGACCACCAGUGGCGAAGGCGGCUUGCCAGAACGCGCUCGACGGUGAGGGAUGAAAGCGUGGGGAGCAAACAGG